ensembl:rRNA 5S_rRNA 5S ribosomal RNA
GCUUACGGCCAUACCACCUUAGGCACGCCCGAUCUCGUCUGAUCUCGGAAGCUAAGCAGGGUCGGGCCUGGUUAGUACUUGCAUGGGUGACCGCCUGGGAAUACCAGGUGCUGUAAGCA